rnacentral:lncRNA from 1 species
AUUAUGCGAAGUAAGAUUUCAAAAGAAGAUUCUCUGUCACAUCAGAUUUCACACCGCAUUUCAAGUGCUCAGUAACUACAGAUCCAAAACAUUUCUAUCAUGACUGAAAGCUUGGUUGCACAGGGCUGCCCUAGACUGUCUAGAUUGACCUGGAUACACUGGCUGUUGGCAAAGUUCCUCCUCUGCACUCUCUCCCUGUCCUGCAUUUGCCCACAGUCUUGUCCAGAGAUGAGCCAGCUAUGUUUGGUUUAGGCGUAGAGUAUAGAAUUCACUAGGACAGUUAUCUCAACCUCUCCACUCCCUUUACCAUCUCAGGACUUCUCCCCUCCUGCCCAAGAAGUUUGCCUGCCCUGCUUGUUCUUCCUCUGCUCCUGAAAUAAUCCACGUGUCUUUCUGAAGUCCUUUAAAAACACGGCAUUUACAUUUCCAGUUGUAUGAAUCUGUCUUGAAGUUUUGUUUAUGGAUUUUACUUUUUGAAGUAAUCAAAUAAAAAAGGAAUGUGUUUAACUACAAACAACAGAAGCUGGAAAAGAGCAACUUAAAUAAUAAGUUUGCCUUAUGCCACAAGAUAUCUAGGCUGUUAUGGAAUCUCAGCAUACUGUUUCUGUUUUUUACCUCCAACAUCCUCAUCAUGAGGCUUUUAUCUUCAUGCCUUUCACCUCUUGGUUGCAACAAAGCUGCUGCAUCUCCAGUCUUGGCUGCCAGCAAGAAAAUGUCAUAGCGAUGAAGGUGGAUGAUGCAAUGAUUAUCAUACUUACACUUUUCCCUCUGCUGCAAAGCACUUAGUCUCAAAAAUAGUGUUUCCAGGGCCUGGCACUGUGGCAUAACAGGUAAAGCUAUUGUCUACCAUGCCAACAUCCCAUAUGGGUGCCAGUUCGAGGCCUGGCUUCUCCACUUCCAAUCCAGCUCUUUGCUACGGCCUAGGAGAGCAGAAAAGAUGCCUAAGUCCUUGGGCCCCUGCAUCUAUGUGGGAAACCCAGAAGAAGCUCCUGGCUUACAGAUCAGCCCAUUUAGGAAGUGAACCAACAGAUGGAAGAUUUCUCUCUCUCUAAUUCUACCUUUCAAAUAAAUAAAACUUUUUAAAAAAAAGUGUUUUCA